rnacentral:rRNA from 1 species
AACGUAGGUUCCGAGCGUUAUCCGGAUUUACUGGGCGUAAAGCGCGUUCAGGCGGUUUGGCAAGUCGGGCAUGAAAUCUCUCGGCUCAACCGGGAGAGGUUGUCCGAUACUGCUGGACUUGAGGGCAGUAGAGGGUGGUGGAAUUCCGGGUGUAAUGGUGAAAUGCGUAGAUAUCCGGAGGAACACCAGUGGCGAAAGCGGCCACCUGGACUGCACCUGACGCUGACACGCGAAAGCUAGGGGAGCGAACGGG